rnacentral:rRNA from 1 species
GAGUUUGAUCAUGGCUCAGAACGAACGCUGGCGGCGUGCCUAACACAUGCAAGUCGAGCGAGAAAGCAGCUUCGGCUGUAAGUAAAGCGGCGCACGGGUGAGUAACACGUAGGCAAUCUUCCGUCGGGAUCGGGAUAACCUGCCGAAAGGCGGGCUAAUACCGGAUAACGUCACGGACUCUUCGGGGUUUGUGACAAAAGGCAGCUUGAAAAAGGUUGCGUCUGACGAUGAGCCUGCGGCCCAUCAGGUAGUUGGCGGGGUAACGGCCCACCAAGCCUAGGACGGGUAGCUGGUCUGAGAGGAUGAUCAGCCACACUGGAACUGAGACACGGUCCAGACUCCUACGGGAGGCAGCAGUGGGGAAUUUUGGACAAUGGGCGCAAGCCUGAUCCAGCAACGCCGCGUGGGUGAUGAAGGCCCUCGGGUUGUAAAGCCCUGUCGGGAGGGACGAAUAAACGGCGUAACGAACCGGAUUGACGGUACCU